ACCUCUAGCAUAAACAGUAUUAGAGGCACUGCCUGCCCAGUGACUAUACGUUAAACGGCCGCGGUAUCCUGACCGUGCAAAGGUAGCAUAAUCACUUGUUCUUUAAAUAGGGACUUGCAUGAAUGGCUAAACGAGGGUUUAUCUGUCUCUUACUUUUAAUCAGUGAAAUUGACCUUCCCGUGAAGAGGCGGGAAUAAAUAAAUAAGACGAGAAGACCCUAUGGAGCUUAAAUUUAUUAAUCCAAGUAAUUUUAAUUUUAAUUCUACUAGAAACUAAAAUAUACUACUUAUGGAUUAAAAAUUUUGGUUGGGGUGACCUCGGAGUAUAACUCAACCUCCGAAUGAUCUUAGUCCAGACUAUAACCCGUCUAAACUUUAAUUCAUGAAUUGACCCAAACUAUUUGAUCAACGGAACAAGUUACCCUAGGGAUAACAGCGCAAUCCUACCCAAGAGUCCAUAUCGACAGUAGGGUUUACGACCUCGAUGUUGGAUCAGGACAUCCAAAUGGUGCAACAGCUAUUAAUGGUUCGUUUGUUCAACGAUUAAAGUCC
rnacentral:rRNA from 1 species